UCCAGGGUAGCCUAGUAGACAUGGCAUCUGUCCGGUAAGCGGAACACCGUGGGCUCGAUUCCUAUUCCUGGAC